CCAAAACUGGAAUGGCAGUCAGCACAUAUAUUUGCUAUAAAAUUUUCCAUUGAAACCUCAUUUCCAUUGUGGCAUAUGCAUUCAUAAUAUAAGAGCAUGAUCUUCUUUUUGUGAACUGAAAUAGGUAUCGAGUAUAUACAUUUUCAACGUAUGUGCACCAUCUCCACUCCAUCGGGAGGUCACUCUACCACUGCCCCCAAUACUGGGAUGGCAGUCAGCACAUAAUAUAAGACCUCUAUUCA